ensembl:lncRNA
GAGCACAGCAAGCUGCAGCAAGCCGGCUGGGUGCUGCUGUCAGCCAUCCCCAUGGCACAGGGCACAUAGGAGACUGGUGGGAAAGAAAGGCUCAUUGAGAGCACUUCUUAAGCAAGGGUAUUUUUACUCAGAGCAUGAUGAGGCACUGGCACAGGUUGCACAGAGAAGCUGUGGGUGUUCCAUCCCUGGAGACACUCAAGGCCAGGUUGGAUGGGGCCCAUGGGCAGCCUGUUGGGUGGCACUGCCCAUGGCAAGGGGUUGGAACUGGUGGGCUUUAAGAUCCCUUCCAACCUAAUCCAUUCUGUGAUUCUAUGAUUAAAUUUCACCCUCAGCAAGUUUGUGGAUGACACCAAGCUGAGUGGUGUGGCCAACACACCUGAGGGAUAGGAUGCCUGUAUGGGAACUGCUGAGUCACAACCUGCACUACUGACUGAGCACCUGGAGAAAAGACCCAGUCAGCCCUGGAAGCACAGGUGAAGGUAAUUCACCUGUGUGACCAAAAAAAGUGGACCCUGGCUUUACCCUUCUUAGACCUCAUUUUAAAGGCUGACUGCCACUGAAGAAGGAUCUCUUGUUGGAGAUUUCCCCUUUGUGGAGUCUUCCUGCAAUCCUUGAUCUUUGGAUACAGCUAGAACAAGUUGGCACCAAUAUUUUGGCUAUUGCUGAGCAGUUCUGCCGCAGCACCAAGGCUGACUCUCCAACUCCCAGCCCUAACAAAGGCAAGCACUGAAUCAGCUGCGGGAGCACAGAUGAAGACAAUUCUCCUGUGUGACUGGAAGUGGGUGGACCCUGGCUUCACAUCUCCUAGACCCCAUUUAAGGGCUGACUGCCUCCGAGGAAGGAUCUCUUUCUGGAGAUUGGUCCUUGUGGAGUUCCUCACAAGCCUACAACACUGGCUAUUCUAUGAUUCGAUGACUGCUGUACUUUCCAUCAUGUUACAGAGGGGAUCUGUAUGAGAACUGUUGAGUCACGGCCUGAACCACUGAUUGAUCACCUGGGAAAAGAACUGAGUCAGCCCUGGGAACACAGGUGAAGGCAGUUCACCUGUCAGACCAGAAGGGGUGAAGCCUAGCUCCACCACUCUGAGGGCCCUGACUGCCACUGUGGAAGGAUUUCCAGUUGGAGAUCCCUCCCUUGCGGAGUCCCUUCUAUGAGCCUAGAUCUUUAGAGAUAAGUGAGCACCUUUACUUUCUCUGUGAAAUACCAUCCUAUCCGCACUGGUCCCUUUGUCAUUCCACUCCUGUGUCAUCCUUUCACAGUAUUAAUCUUUCUGAUUGUAAUAGGAUCUCAUUAAUGUUUAUACAUAUCUUAAGUGUGGGAGACAAAGGGACAUGGCCUACCUCUUUUUUGGUGGUCUGUGGGGACAGAACAAGGGGAAAUGGCCAUAAACUGGAGCAUAGGAAGUUCCACUCCAAUAUGCGAAAUAACUUCUUCAUGGUGAGGAUGACAGCACUGGAACAGGCACCCCAGGGAGGUUGCACAGUCUCCUUUUCAGGAGAUAUUAAAGAUCCAUCUGGAUGCCUACCUAUGCAACCUGGUGUAAGGAGCCUGCUUUGGCUCUGGGCAAUUCUGUAUAUCUCUGUGUGCAUCCUAACUGAAUGGUGAGCACUCAGCCCUGAGAUAAGACUACAGCUCUGGAAGGGGGGUAUGCACCAUCCAUCCAAGAGAUGACCAGUGCCUUCACCCAAACAAAGCUGGUGAAGGUAGAAGUGGCUGUGCAGAACCCUGGCUGUGCAAGCUGUGUAGGCCUUUUUCCUGGAGCAGAGGUGAGUGGAAAACUAGACUGCUCUGUCAUCACCUUUGCUUGCUUUACACUUUGGUGAACCAGGUAGCUAAAUACCUUUGAAGAUAUUCCAUCAUAAGCUUCCUAAAAUAUUUACCAUGACAUUUCUGAGCAAUAUAAUGAGGUGGUUUGGAUGGGGAAAGUCUACCUUUUUUAUUUCUGCAGAGAUCAGCUUCAGGGCAGGUAAGCUUGCACUGGGGAAGGGAUCUAAAGCAAAAAGGCCCAUAAAAACCUCUUCUGGGGGCUUUUGAAGUCAGCUGAAGUGCUUCACUGAGCUGGGGGCAUUUAGCAAUUUGUAGGGGGGCUGCUGAGGGAGUGUGAGUGGAGCUGGCACUUUCCACCCUUGACCUUGAUUAGGCCUCCAGAUUAUAAGCAGUCUCAGGGAGAGUGGAAGCUAGCUUCAACUCACAGACCACACAGGGUAAACACAGAGCAAACAAAGGGUGGUUGAGGUCAAUGCCCUUUGAUCGCUGAUCUCAGCUGCCUUGGAGCCAUCUUGGACGGAUCAGCAGGAACCAACCACGUGGUUCAAGGGGAUUUCGGAUGGUUCCUUCACUCAUGGAACCCCAGAGCUAACAAAGCAGCCUGGCAGCUCUCGCGAGAGCGGCUGAUGCAGUACGUGGGCGUUGCCUGGGCAACAGCACUGCAUUCAUGCCCCCAUGCCUUGAAAAAGCCUCGAGGAGGGCAGCGGCGUGUAAGAGACACCAGUGGCACCAGAGACAAAAAGGAGGGGUCGGGUCUGUGAAUCACGUGGCUUUCUGUACAGUGCUCGUAAGUAUUCUGCUUAGCCAUGGCCGUGCCCUGGUGGAAGGCUGCUGCCAGAAGUAAUGAGGUGACCCAGACAGAGGUCCCAUGCUCUCACAAAAGGAAAGCGGUGGCCAAGAAGACUGUGGAGACCCAGACUGAGGCCCUGCACACGUAUGAAAGGAAGACUGCUGCCAAGAAAAAUGAGGAUACUCAGGCUGAGAUCCCAAACCAAGAUGCUGGUGUGCAGUUCUCUGGCUGUAGUGAGUGCCAGAGCCUGGCACCACAGGCCUUUGCAGUGCUAGGUGAGGGAGGCAGCGACUGUGUAUAAUGUGACCAGGUAAACUACUUACUCAGCCUUGUGGUUGACCUGAAGGAUGAGGUGGAGAGGCUGAGGAGGAUAAAGGAAUGUGAGAGGGAGGCUGAUUUGCUGGUACCAAACCUUAUUGGCCCCUAGAUCUAGGCAGCCAGACAAGGUUCUGCAUGGAGUAAGUCACCCCCUGCCACCUUGAAAACAGGUGACAGAGGGGAACCAGCAUGCAGACAGUGUUCCUGCUGCAGUGAACCCACUGUCCUCUUCUCCCCCCAGGAACAAUGGCGAAGAAUCAGGGGAUGUAGGGCAGUGGCAUAAGGCCCCUGCUCGGUGAUGCAGGCGUGCCCUCCUGGUGAGUCCCCAGCCCCCCCAACUGCCCCUGUGAAACAGGUACAGUGCUCUGCAGGGACAACUGGACAGUGGUGGUGAUGACAGCUCUCCCCGGUUGGUGGUGCUCCCCAAGUCUGACCAGUCUUCACCUAGCAUUAAAACUUCAUCAACUAGGAAAAAACAAUGGGUCCUUGUUAUUGGUGACUCUCUGCUGAAGGAAGCAGAAAGGCCAAUAUGUAGACCAAACCCUCUACACAAGGAGGUCUGCUGCCUCCUGGGAGCCCAGGUUAAGGAUGUGAGGAAGAAACUUCCUUCCCUAGUCUGGCCCACUGAUUACUAUCCCUUGCUGUUGUUUCAGGUUGGUAGUGAUGAUUUAGGCAAAAUUUGGACUCUGAAAAAGAAUUUCAGAGCCUCGAGGAGACAGGUGAAGGGUUCAGGAGCACAAGUUGUGUUCUCCUCUAUCCCUCCAGCUAUAGGGAAUAAUGAGGGACUUGAUGUAAUGGGCCAUCGGAUUAAUACCUGGCUCAGAGCUUGGUGUGCCUGGCAGGGGUUUGGGUUUUUUGACCUUGGCUCUGUUUGCAAGAGCCUGGGCCAGCCAGCAGCUGAUAGGAGUGGCUUCUCCCACUGGUCAAGAGGGGUCUGAAGACGGGAGUUGGGUAGGUUCAUUCACAGAGCUUUAAACUAGGUAUGAAGGGAGGUGGGGGUGUAACUGGGGUCACUAAUACGGAGCCUGAGCGUAACGUCCCUGUGCCUGAAGGAGAGGUAUGUGCUUGUAAGGCCCCAUGGUCUUGUGCCUUGGUGAAAGAGGAGGACGACUCACCCCUUUGUAGGAAGAACAUGAGGGCAGGUAUGAGGUUGGUGGCUGUGGAAACACCUGAGUGUGCUCAUGAGGGUAUUAGGGUUACUACCACUCACAAGGAG